CGCGGGGUGGAGCAGCUCGGUAGCUCGCUGGGCUCAUAACCCAGAGGUGCAGGUUCGAAUCCUGUCCCCGCUACCA
rnacentral:tRNA from 1 species